rnacentral:rRNA from 1 species
CCUACGUGAGGCAGCAGUGAGGAAUAUUGGUCAAUGGGCGCGAGCCUGAACCAGCCAAGUAGCGUGAAGGAUGACUGCCCUACGGGUUGUAAACUUCGUUUAUAAAGGAAUAAAGUGAGGCACGUGUGCCUUUUUGUAUGUACUUUAUGAAUAAGGAUCGGCUAACUCCGUGCCAGCAGCCGCGGUAAUACGGAGGAUCCGAGCGUUAUCCGGAUUUAUUGGGUUUAAAGGGAGCGUAGAUGGGUUGUUAAGUCAGUUGUGAAAGUUUGCGGCUCAACCGUAAAAUUGCAAUUGAUAAUGGCAGUCUUGAGUACAGUUGAGGUAGGCGUAAUUCGUGGUGUAGCGGUGAAAUGCUUAGAUAUCACGAAGAACUCCGAUUGCGAAGGCAGCUUACUAAACUGCCACUGACAUUGAUGCUCGAAAGUGUGGGUAUCAAACAGGAUUAGAUACCCCAGUAGUC